rnacentral:rRNA from 1 species
GAUGAACGCUGGCGGCGUGCCUAAUACAUGCAAGUCGAGCGAACGCACGAUAAGCUUGCUUCUCUGCUGUUAGCGGCGGACGGGUGAGUAACACGUGGAUAACCUACCUAUAAUACUGGGAUAACUUCGUGAAACCGGAGCUAAUACCAGAUAAUAUUUUGAACCGCAUGAUUCAAAAGUGAAACACAGUUUUGCUGUCACUUUUAGCUGUAUCCGCGGUGCCUUAGCUAGUUGGUAAGGUAACAGCUUACCAAGGCAACGAUGCAUAGCCGACCUGAACGGGUGAUUGGCCCACACGGAAAUUAGGACCGGGCCCAGACCCUAAGGGGGGGCGGAGUAGGGAAUCAUCCGCCAUUGGCGAAAGGCGUAAGGCGGAACGCCCGGUGAGGGAAGAAGGUCUUCGGAUCUUAAAACUCCGUUAUUAGGGAAGAACAUAUGUCUAAGUAACUGUGCACAUCUCGACCGUACCUAAUAAGAAAGGCACGGCUAAACUCCGU